UAGUCCACGCCGUAAACGAUGAUUACUAGGUGUUGGGGGUCAAACCUCAGCGCCCAAGCUAACGCGAUAAGUAAUCCGCCUGGGGAGUACGUACGCAAGUAUGAAACUCAAAGGAAUUGACGGGGACCCGCACAAGCGGUGGAGCAUGUGGUUUAAUUCGACGCAACGCGAGGAACCUUACCAGCGUUUGACAUCUUAGGAAUGAGAUAGAGAUAUUUCAGUGUCCCUUCGGGGAAACCUAAAGAC
rnacentral:rRNA from 1 species